rnacentral:lncRNA from 1 species
UUUUGUUUUCUCUCUCACUCACACAUUUGUAUUGCUGCAAACCAUAGCAGCAGAGUGAAACUCUUUGCCGCCACCGUCCACUCACUCCCUCUCCUCUGUUUUCUCAACUCGUUUUCAAUGUCUCAUCCCUCCACCAUCGUCAAACUCAAAAUACCUACUAGCCAUCUCCUCCAUUUUCUUCGUAUUUUAUUUUUUACUGGGUUUGUUCGUUUUAAGAUUUCACAACUUUUAACAAUUUUCUCUUUGUUUUUCUACGAUGGUAUACACGAGAAGAAAGUUGUGAAGUUGUUCAUGGUUGAGGAACAAAGAGGCUACAUUUCAUUGUGAAGUUGAAGCCAUAGACAAAGGUUUGGAUUUUUGUUUGUUUUGUUUUUUUAGGUUUUUAUAAGUUACUUUGUAUUUGACUAUCGUUUUUAAUCUUCAGAUCUAAAUGGUAAAUAAUAGUCUUCAGAUCCACACAUUUCUCUUCAGAUCUACAUGGUAUAUACUAAUAUUCAGAGAUCUUACAAUAUGUUGAUAUAUGGUUUUUGUUAUUUAUUAUCUAAGUUUCUCUUUUAUUAUGUUUAUAAACAAUAGUUUUUUUUAUGUUUGUGAAGGUAAUGUUUGGUUCUGUUGUUAGUCAAGAAAACUUAAAGCUAGGAAGAAGUAAGUUUUAAUUGAAAGGUAAUAUAAAAUUUGUUGUGUAAAAAUGUAAUUUUAGUGUUGACCUAAUAUAUGUGUAUGUGCUAUGUUAGAUCUAUGUGAACUUGUAUAUUGAGAUAUGUAGUGAUAUUUAUUUUAAACUCCUAUAAUUUAUUUGAUCAUUUUAUUAGUUGUAUCUUAACCAUUGUUUCUCUCUUUUGCAGAAAACAAAACAUCUUCAUGCUUCUUAAGUUCUUGUACUGGUCUAUAAGCUCAUUUCAUUGAGUUUUACUACUUGGUGUUUAUGUUAAAUUAAAACUAUGUUGAUGUUGUGUUGUAACUAUGUUGGACUAAAGUCCUUUAAUUUGUGUAUUUUUGCUGAAAAUAUUGUAUCUACAUAUUUAUUGUUGUAAAGUGUGAACUUGAAUUUAGCCUACCAAAAUUGUGGAUCGAACUAAGUAUCAAGAUGAUUUAAAAGUAAAUAAAAAAUUAAUCUG